UACAGAGGGGGCAAGCGUUAUUCGGAAUUAUUGGGCGUAAAGGGCGCGUAGGCGGCCUGGCAAGUGACGGGUGAAAGCCCUCGGCUCAACCGAGGAACUGCCUGUCAUACUGCCGGGCUUGAGUCCGGGAGAGGUGAGUGGAAUUCCCAGUGUAGCGGUGAAAUGCGUAGAUAUUGGGAGGAACACCUGCGGCGAAGGCGGGUUGCUGGGCUGACACUGACGCUGAUGCGCGAAAGCCAGGGGAGCGAACGGG
rnacentral:rRNA from 1 species